rnacentral:misc_RNA from 1 species
GUUCAUUAGUCUGUGAUGAUAGGCCUAUCAUCAGUCUAAGAAACCAAGGUACGCAAGUGCGGCAUAACAUUGACAAAAUGGUCAAGAACAUUAACAGAACCACCAAUAAUUUUGCCAUGGAAGCCAUUCCUUGAAAAACACCAGAAGUACCACCAAGAAUAGGAAGCAGGGCAAAUAGCAAACCUACUGUACAAUCCUGCAGAAUAAGGAUUCCAACCGUUACUUGCCCAUAGAGGGUGUUAACACUAUUUCUUUCCAUCAAAAAUUUCAAUACCACUGCUGUCGAAGACAUUGAU